GUUAAACCAAGAUGAUCAAAUUAUAUAGUUUUGGUAAAAAAACAGUUAAAUUAAAUUAAUGCUUACUAAAUAUUUAUAAAAAAGUAAAAUUUGGACAUGAAUAAAAAAUCUGAUUUAAACUAAAAUAUUGAAGCUGUGAAAACCUUGAGGGAAACUGGGAUUAGAUACCCCAUUAUUCUUGGGUGUAAAGUGAUUUUAUAUUUACCGGAGUACUAUGAAUUAAAUAUUUAAAACUUAAAGGGCUUGGCGGUGUUUUAGACCUUUCAGGGGAACCUGUCUCAUAAUCGACAGUCCACGAAAAACCUAACCUUUUUUAGUCUAUCAGCUUGUAUACCGUCGUCGUCAGGUAACUUUUUAGAAAAUAGCAGUUAGCAAAAAAACGAUAAGUUUACACGUCAGAUCAAGGUGCAGUUAAUAAAAAGGUGAGGAUGGGUUACAAUUAUAAAAUUAUAAUUACGGAAAGUUUUUUGAAAGAAAAACAAAAAGGAGGACUUGAAAGUAAGAUAAAAUAUAUAAACAUUCUGAAUAAGGCUCUGAAACGUGCACACAUCGCCC
rnacentral:rRNA from 1 species